AUGAAGAGCAGGAGGCAGAGCGGCCGCGGAGGAGCCAUGGUCGCCGACGGGGGCUGCAAGAUGGAGCGCAAGGACGUGGAGAAGAACCGCAGGCUGCACAUGAAGGGCCUCUGCCUCAAGCUCUCCUCCCUCGUUCCGGCCUCCUCCUCCUCUGACCACCACCUCAGACACUAUUCUUCCUCGCCGCCGUCCAGCAACAAGGACGCGGCGACGCAGCUGGACCAGCUGGACAGCGCGGCGGCCUACAUCAAGCAGCUCCGGGGCCGGAUCGACGACCUCAAGCGCCGCAAGCAGGCCGCCCUCUCCGGCGGCACCGCCGGCUGCUCAUCCUCCGUCUCCGCCGGCGACUACAAGGCACAGACGACUUCGCUGCCGGUGAUCGAGGUGCGGCACCACGACGGAACUCUGGACGUGGCGCUGGUGAGCGAGGUCGGGCGGCCGUUCCGGCUGCACGAGGUGAUCGCCGUGUUGGAGCAGGAGGGCGCCGAGGUAGUCAGCGCCAGCUUCUCCGUCGUCGGCGACAAGAUCUUCUACACGCUCCACUCCCAGGCGUUCUGCCCACGCAUCGGCCUCGACGCCCGCCGCGUCGACCAACGGCUCCGCGGCCUCGCCGCAGCAGCCACCAUCUCGUCGUCGGUCCUCCUCACAUGA
rnacentral:rRNA from 1 species